rnacentral:rRNA from 1 species
UACAGAGGUCUCAAGCGUUGUUCGGAUUCAUUGGGCGUAAAGGGUGCGUAGGCGGCGCCGUAAGUCGGGUGUGAAAUCUCGGGGCUUAACUCCGAAACUGCAUUCGAUACUGCGGUGCUUGAGGACUGGAGAGGAGACUGGAAUUCGAUGGUGUAGCAGUGAAAUGCGUAGAGAUCAAUGAGGAAGACCAGUGGCGAAGGCGGG